rnacentral:lncRNA from 1 species
UUUAUAUAUUCAUAAGGACAUAACGAAUAUUUUCCUAAGUCAUAUCUUUACAGUAUAUGUUUGGAAAGAGCAAAUAAAAUCAAUCUACAAUUUAAGAAUUAGGGACAUAAUUUAUCACAUGCAUAAUAAGUACCAUUUAAUUUAUAAAUUUGAAACGUUGUUAUUUAGGAGAAAAUAUCAUGCUGCAAGUGAUUAAACAAUAACCAAGUCAUUGCCUAAUAAAAAUAUAUGCCAACGAGUGAUAAGACAUGACAAAAACAUAACCAAAUAACAUAGGUUCUAGAAUUCUAAACAAAUAAACAGAUUCAUAUAAUCAUGAAAUUAAAAUUACUACUAGGAAUAAAAUUUCAGCCACUUUAUUUUAAGUUUACUUUAUUGAGUCCUAGCACAACGAUGGUACCUCAUCGCCCAACAACCAACUACCUGUUCUAGUCUGUAAGAAGUAGAAGAAAAGGGUGAGGGAGCAUUCAAUAGGACAUGAGUAAAUGUGCAAUCCCAAAUAAAAUAUCAAUUCAAGUGUCAAAAUAAUUAUACCGUUGUGUCAUAUCUUUAGAAACCAAUAAUAGCUCAUAAUAUAUCAUAACUUUGUUACUGGAUGACCAUAUCAUAUGAUAUCAUAUCUUUCGUAAGCAUAAUGUUUUUCAACAUGAAUAAAUGAAAUUAAUGGAACAAGCCACUUACACCUUGUAAUCCUAUCUCGUUAGAUUUUUGUAAGGCAAGUGUCAUAAUCUAAGUCGCAGUGUCCAUGUUAUGAUGUUUCUAUUGCAGUACAUACAACAUGGAAGUUGAAAUAGAAAUAGGAGCUAGACAUUACAUUGGAUUUAACGUACUUCUUAUAUACAUUCUUUUAUUUAGUCUUGGACCCAUAGUUGGUAUGUUAAAAUAAUGUCAGCUAGUAACUAUCUCGUUGGAAGUUAUACUCUUCGGCAAUAACAGUCAUCAAGUUACGUUCCCUAUCAAUCUAAUUAUCUCAUACUAGUCAAUUCUUGUAAGUACUAAAGCCUAUUUAAUUAACCAGUUUGUCACAAUUAUUCGUUUCAGACAAUGCCAGUCAUUAAGAA